AAAAGAAAAUUACAAUAGUAUUUAUAUACAGAUUUUUUUAAUUAUUAGUAUAAUAGUUAACGCGCCAUUUUAUACGCAGUUGCAACUUAUAUAACCGGCUUUAAAUACAAAAGAAUAUUAAAAAGGGUUAUUUUAACUUUAACUGAUAUUAAAACGCCCUGCAAUAUUACUGGCUAAGUAAUUAAAUAUUAAUUAUUAAAAAUAAUUCUAUUGAAACUCUAUUAAUAAUAAACGCAAAACUUUGCGGAAAAUAAUUUCUAGAUUAUUAAUUAAAAGUUUAUAAACAGUCCAGUUUUACUAUUUCGAAUAUGAAAACAACUUGAACUUUUUAAUUUUGCGUAAAAUUAUAUAAACUUAUAAACUUUUCGCGCAAAUUUGAAUUUGUUUAUUAUUUAUAAAGUGCGGGGAAAUAUAUAAUAGUUGAUAAAACCAACAUGCGAACCAAAAUAAACGGUUAAUAUAAUUAUAGCGCGUAGGAGACAAAAUAGAUUUCAAAUUAAAAAAAUUAAUAUUAUACCUUUUUUAAUAAAAAUCAAUUAUUUGGAUUUAAAAUAUACGGGUUUUUAAACUAUUAGGACCGGAUAUGGUAAUAUUACCAAAAAGAAUUAUAAGUAUAUAUUAAAAUCGUUAUAUAAAUAAAUUAUAAAACACUCAACGAGGAUUCUCUGUCCGGCCAACAAUUUUUUCAUUUUCCAAGUUUUUUCAAUUACCGUGGAAGUUUAAAUAUUAAUUGGAAAAAUUAAUAUAAUCCGCAUUUAAAAUGCGAAGAGGAUUUUGUCUAGUUAAUAAAAUACUGGAGAAAAAUAUAAAUUAAUAUAAUAUAAAAACCCGGAAAGCUAAUUAUUAAUUGUUAAUAUUAUUGGAUGCUAAGAGGGGUUUAGGGGUAAACCCUAGGUAUGGCAUGGUGCUAACCAUAAUAAAAGCCCUCUAAUAAUAAUAGCUGUUAAUAAUAAAAAUUAUUACAGGGGAUUUAGGGGAUAAACCCUAAAUGCCGCGUGGUUGCUAACAGGUGCUAAAGACGCUAAAUAUAUUAAAAUAUAAAAUAUUGUACGCAAAUGGACGGUAAUAUAUUGGUGGAAGGAUUUUGCUUUAUUCUUUUAUAUAUUUUCCGAUAUGGAAAUGGGGGUCGGUACGCCAAAAAGGCUUCCGGUACCGCAAAAUAAAUUUCCGAAAAAUGAAUUUGUAUGGGUUUGUUAAAAGACACCCUCAUUUGCUAACAAACCAUUCUUGGGUUCGCACGCAAUUGUUAAUUUGGUAAAUUUUUAAACCCGGUAUAGGGUAAUUAAUUUGUAAAUGCAAGGUGGGUAUUAAACCCGGUAUAAGGUAACUAACCCCAUUUAUUAACUUUUAAGUCGCACUCCUGCAUUUAACAAAUUAACGAAAUUCCAACCACCCCAUUUCGGCACUAUAUAUAAUGGGCUAUAUAUAAAUAAAAGUGCGCUUAUUAUAUGGAAAAUAAUAUAUAUAAUUAACAAGUUAGUAUAAUUAUUUAAAUUGCCGCGAAAUAAUUAUAAUUAAAUAAAUACGGUUAUAUUAAACAUUUUCGAACAAACGGAAAAAAUAUUGUUGGGAAUUAUUCUACAUAUUUUAAAAAAGAACUUAAUAUAUUGUUUUUAAAAUAACAGCGGAACGCGCCGAAAACUUUUUUAUUUAUUAUUAUUACUUUCAGUUAUUUUCAACAAUUAGAAAUAACGUCGGCUAUUGUUUUUACCAGCGGUCUAAUUUGCAAUUAUAUUAGAAUUUGCAAAAGGUAUUAAUAAAUAUAAAAUCCAAUUAUAUUAUAAAAAUAUAGUAAUUAAAAAAUAACAGUUUUUGAAGAAAUUAAAAUUAAAGUUUUUGGGUUUAAACAAUUAUUAUAAUUAAUAUAUAAAGUAGAAAGCGGAGAAAAUAAAAACCAAGCGGAAAGUUUCGCGGGGAUAAUAUAUUUUGAAAAGAAUAAUCAUAUUAUAUAAGAUUAAUAAUAAUAUAAAAAGUCUGAGAAAAUAAAUAGUAAAAUAUUAUCUGGGGGGGAUAAGAGGGGAAGAUAAUUGGUAAUGUAAACAAAUAAUCUACUAUAUUAUAAUCCUAAUUAUUAGUUUUAAACUAAUAUUAAAAAUAUAUUAACUAAUUAUAUUUUCCAGUUUAAAUUACGUGUACGCGAAAUUUAUAACGGUUAUUAAUAUUAUAAUUGUUAAGAAUAUAAUAAAUAAAAUACCGCCGAUAAAAUAAUUAUUUUUAAUAAAUACCUAUUAAUAUUUUAUUAUAAUUAACCAACCGGUUUAUUAUAUUUGGGAAUUAUAAAAAUAGAAAGGAAAACAGAAGAUUAAAUUAUUAUAAUAAAUAAUAUAUGACGUGCGUGUAAUAAUAUUUUAUUUCUAGUUAUAUAUAUUAUCUCAAAUAUAAUAUAUGCAAAAUUUAUUUAUAUGUAAUUUAUAAUAUAUAGUACCCAACCGGGCCUAUUAAAUUAUCCGUUAAUUUUAUAAUUACGGGUGUUGCAAUAAACAGGUUAGCGAAUGUGUUUAAUUACCUUAUACUGGGGGGUUUAAUAUCCACUCUCUAUAUGCGAAUUAACUACGCCGUACCGGGUUAAAAUUUCUAUUUUUGCGUGCAAACCCAAAAAUGGGUUGUUAAUAAAUAAAAAUAUUUUUUUCAAAAACUAAUACAAAUUAGUUUUUUGGAAAUUUAUUUAUAAUACCGGAAUUCUUUUCACCGUACGAACUCGUAUUUCAAUAUUGGAAAAUAAAUAAAAAAAAUAAAGCAAAUUUUAUCCAAUUUAUAUAAAAAUAGUUAAAUAUUUAAAUUAUAAAAUAUUCCCACAAUUAUUUCAACGUUUAAAUAUUAAUUAUUAAUUACACCGCACUUAAAAUUUGUUUUUAAACCCCUAUUAAUAUUAUAAUUAUUAAUAGGAUAAAAAUGGGGGAGCAUUUACAAUUAAUAUAUUGAAAUAUAUUUUGUAUUAUUUAAAAAUUCAAAUUUUCAAUUUCAUUUUAAUUAGUAUUUUAUUAAUAUAAUAUAUAUAUUAGCAAGGAUAUUUUUACCCUUAAACAAAUUACUAGCUAUAAAUAUAUCCGUAAAUAUUUAACCCUUCCUAUUAAUAAUAAACUGUUAGUAAAUUAAUAUUUAAUUUAAGCGAAAUUUGUAAAUAUUAUAACGUUUGCUAAUAUUAUAUAUUUUAAGUUUUUAUUAUGGGUCUUAUAAGUUAUAUAUUAUUAUUGCAAUUGAUUUGAAUUUUCCAUACGUUAAAUACGGUUUGCGCUUACAAGUUAGGGCAAAAACUCUUAUAUUCGUUUGUUAAUAAUUUAUUUAUUUAUUAACGGUUCCAUUAUAUAUUACCCUGCACGCUUUUUGCAACUUAUUUUGAACUUUUUUUUUUAAAGCAAAUUUUGCUGGCUACGUGCAUUUAAAUCGGUAGAAAUGCUAGCGCACUUAUUGUAUUAGAAGACGUGAAGGUUUUUUUAUUUAUAUUUUCAAAGAAUUUAAUUAAUAGAAACAGUAGUAAAUUUUAUAUACUGGCAAAUAUAAAUUUAUACCCAUUAAAAAUAAACGGCUAUAGACAAUCCUAAGUUAAGAUACUUAUAUUUAAAUCGUUAAAUUAAUUAAAUCUCAAAUUAAAAUUGAACCAUUUUAUAAUAGGAAACAAUUUUAUAUUAUGUCUUCCAGGCCUGAUAUAACUAAAUAGGGAAUAAACCAAACCCGAACGAAAUUUUCACCGCUAAAUUACAGGUUUAAAAUCUGCAAUUACAAAUUUUAAUUACGCAAAUAAUAUAAUUUUAUUAUGUAAUUUAACAGUUAAUAUUUUUAUUUAAACUUUUAGUAAUAUUAAUAAACGGUAAAUUUAUUAAUUUUAAUAAUAAUAUAAGUACUAAUACUUAUUAUAAGUAUAAUUUGGAGGUUACCUAAUAAACUUUCAACGUUCACAACGUUACCUUAAUAUUUAAUUUACCUGAUAAUUGAAUUUGAAAAAGUAAAAUAAGUAAGAAAUUAUUAAAACGGGUAUUUUUCCCCCAAAAAUUGCAAACAAAUAGGGGUUAAUAUUUUGGAUUUGCAGAAACAAGUAUUUAAAAUGCAAUUUAAAAUUAUAUAAACUGCGGUAUUGAUUUCUAACUUCAAAAUUAGUUAUAACUUACCGAAGUAAUAUCCAUAAAAAAAGCCUAGUUUAAAAAUUAUUAUAAUUUAAUAUAUAGCAUUUUAAUUUUAUAAUAAUUUAAAAUAGUAUAGGAAAUAAUUAUACGGUUAUAUUAAAUUAACCGAAAUACGUUAUAUUUAAAAAUGCAAAGACCCAGAUAUUUCCCAAUUUGAAAGUUAAAUAUUAUAAUUUGAAAGCCGUUUUAUUUUUUAGUAGCAAAAUUAAUUAAUAAGAGAGUGUAUAUUAAGUUUGUCAAUAUCCGAUGUAAAUAUUUCCGGGCGUUAAAAAAGAGUUUUUUUUACCUUGACCGAAUAGUAACGUUAUAUUAAAGGGUCCCUGUUAAUUAUAAACCAAACUUCGGAUAAAUUAAAUUUGCAAUAUUUUAUGGCGGAUUUUAUAUUCGGAAAUUUAAUACUAGAUUUUAUAAUAAUUGAAAUUACUAAUUACAGGAGUAAAAGUCGAGAGAAUGAUAAAAGAAACCGUUAAAGAAAUGCUAAAAAAAUAACUGGUAUAAAUUAUAAUACCUCCAAAUUACAAAGGUUUUAAUUCGAAUUUAUUUUUGCAGAAAUACCAAAUCCUCUAAUUUUAGCAAAUAGAACGUUAUAAUUUUUACAAUUCUAAUAAAUUCCUAAACUAUUUACUUAGUUAAUUUUAAAUAACGCUAAUAUAUACGCAGCGUGUACGAUUUUGAAUUAAGUAAAUAAUUCGGGCGGUAAUUUACCGUACCGCAUAUUAUAGCAGGAGAUUAAUUUUAUUAUUAACGGAGCUAUAAAAUUAUAUUUGAAAUUGGAUUCGGAACCUAAUUAUACCGGUAAAAUACCAAAAUUAUAAACUUAGCAACUUAUUUUGAAAGUUUAAAAAAAAUUGGAAACGGUGUAAAUAAAUCUUAAACCCCGAAAAUUAAAAUACCCGGUCCCAUGCAAUAUAAAUAAUACGCAUUAUAUUUUUGCAAAUAAAUAAUCUUUUAUUAAUUAUAUCCCCGGUCCAACAAUCGAAGUUGGGACCGGAGAUAACCAUAUUAAAUUUAUUAUUAUUGGUGUUAAAAUAAAGAGGAUUGCGUUCAAUUUAUUAAUUUCAUCGACAACUUACCUGCGGUGCCCAAUAAGACCCGCACGUAAUUUGUCCAGUCCUCGACCAUGGGUAUAAACGAGAAAAAACAAUUAAAGGUUGGAACGUUAAUAAAAUACUGGUUAAACAAAAAUAUAUUACCUUUUAACCCAUACUUACGUCUUAUUAAUUAACCGAUUUACAAAAGGCCUAUUAACAAUUAGAAUUAUUAAAAUAUAAAUCCGGUAUUAUUUUAAAAUUAAUAAAUUUGAAAUAAUUGAAUUGAAUAACAUAUUAUAUAUUUUUUUCCUUUGGAACAGAUAUUAAUAAUAGCUUAAUAUAUUAUAAUAUAAAGGGCGUAUUAUUAGAGAACACCUUAUACGAUUAAAUAGGCAAAACGUGGAAGAGUUUAAAUACCUCUAAAAGUUUGUUUUAUUUGGAGGUAAAAAAAUGCAAUAUUAUUAGUUGGAAUUCUAUAUUUACAGUCUCGAUUUACAUUUAUAUAAUUAUUAAGUAAAGUAUUGUUUUUUAUUUAAUUUUACAGGAGGUUAUUAGAAAUUAUUUAACCCUGUUCGAAAUAAAAUUAAAUAAUCCAAUUUGUAAACACCAAAAGAAUAUAAACUUUCCCCAGAUUCCGAACCAGAAGGAAAUACGGCAACGGAAAAAUUAAAUGCGGAAUAAAGUGAAAAUAUAGCCGUACGUUUACUUAUAAUACAAAGUUUAAAUAUAAUUAAACUUGAAAAUUUACGGAGGAUGGAAUUAUAUUAAUAUAACAAAUUACUAAACAAUUUUUUCACGCAACUAGAUUUAAAAAAGGUUAAUUCCGGGAAAAAGUAGGUUCCGUUAUAAAAAUUAAUUAUUAAAACCUUUUUUUAUUACCGGAUUUGAUACAAACCUUUGUAAACAUCUUUUUUAACUUAGUCGAAUUACCAACAAUCGGAUAGCGGUUUGAAAGUCUUAAUUGCAGGCAACCGUAAUAAAAUCAAAGGUUGAAAACCCUGUAAUAAUUUAAACGUUUAGGGUAUAUAAAAUUAUUAUUAUUGGAAAGAAAACUAUUAAUAAUACGGAAAGAUUACCUAAUUUUAGCACUUUUAGUAUUACUAAUUACAAGCAAAAUUAAUUAAUAAAACGGUCCGUUGAAAUUAUUUUGUAUAAAUUUAUAUUAAUUAUUUUAACGGCAGUUUUACUAUUAUUCUUAUAAAAUUACUUAUUACCGUCCCUAAUUAAUUGUAACUAACCGUACAACGGUAAUAAAAAAAAGUUAAUAUCUUAUAAUAAAUUUUAUAUCGAAUUUUCAAUCGGAUUACUAUAUAAACCUAGUUUAUAUUAUUUUCUGGCUAUUAAUACCGUAUACCAGACUAUUAUACCGUUAAAAAAAGGACAAAAAAAUCUAACAAAUUGGUAUACCGAAUAAUAAUAAUUAAACUUUUGGUUUAUAUAUUUAAUUUUAUAACGUUAGUAUAUAUUUUUAUUAAACGGGCCGUAUAUAAAAUAUUUACCGUAAGGUUUCUAAAAUAAAUACACGUUUAAAACUUGCUUAUAUAAAGAAACGUUAUAAAUUUAAAAAGGGAAAAAGCCAAGUUUAAAAAGGGUUUUUAAAUUUAAAUUUAAAAACGAAAUUUACAAUGGUAAAAAUUUAAAUCCAGCGUAUAAUUAUUUUUUACCACCAGUUAUAAACCUUUUAAUUUUUAUUAAUAUGAUAUUUUCCAAGUUUAUAUAAUUUAUUAUUAACCCGCUAAAAUUUGUAAUGGUAACCAUUUUUAAUUUCAAAUUUAAAAUACCGGAAACUUUCCAUACUUUUAAUAUUUAAAAUAAGAAUUAUAAAAUUAAAUCCGCAAUUUAAAGGCCCAAAUUCACUAAAAAUUAAUUUUAUAUAUUGUUUGUAUUUGUUUAUUUAGAGGAAAUAAAAAAACCUAUUAAAAACGAUAAAUUGAAUAAUUAUUAAUAGGUUUUAAAAGUUUUAAAAAUUUUGAAUAAUUAAUAAUUUCAACGUUUAAAUUCGACCAAAUUAUUCUUUCCAGGACUUUCUGUUCUAUUAUUAAGGCUGUAAUAUUUAUAGGCCGUAAAUUAAUUUUAACCCGGCCGGUAUUUGAAAUCCAAAAAAAUAAAUAUAAUAAACUUUCAAAAUAUAAUAUAGAAAAGUUUCCAAAAAGGUUUUUACAGGUCGAAAACCUAAAUUAUAUUAAGGUUUUCCCUAAUAUUAAUAUAUUAUAUAUAUGGCGUAAACUAUUAGUUAAAAGUAAUAUAUAAUAUUGGAAAAUAAAAUAAAUUAUUCUUAUGGGUGCGUUUUUAAAUAAUAGGUUUAUUAACGUAAAUAUUUAUUUACAAAUUUUAAAAUAUUCUAACAAACGGUUUAACUUUUGCAGUUUUGUUAUAAUUAUAACUUCAAUAUAUAUGGGUUAUAAUCCGAACACAUUUAAUUUAUAUAAUUCGAGAAAAUAUUAUGCGGUUUAAAACAGGGUCCAGAAAAUUGCAAAUAUAAUUAGAAAACCUAUUCUUUACAAAAACAUUCAAACUGUCAAAUUUAAUCCCGCCGUAUUAUAUAAUAUUUAAUCCAAAUCUUCAUUAUUAUUUUUGCUAAUAAUUGCCUGGUAAUAAAUUUUAAAAUGCAAUAUAUUUGAAAUUGAAAAACUUAUUUUAACAAAAUAUACGUAUUAAAAAUAAAGGCCCUGCAACUUAUCUCUUUAACAUUUGAAUUACAAAUAAAAAAACUCAAUCGCCUUUUUAAUUCCAUUAAAAUUAAUAUAGAAACACAAUAUUAGCAACUUUCGGACUAAUUAAUUGCAAAUUUAUUUUAAUUUAUUACAGCCGGGUAUAUUAUAAUAUAGCGGGAGUGAACCCGCAAAUAUGCUGGAGGUUAAAAUAUUAGAACGUUUUAUUAGUACCCCAAUAUAUUUAACAUUAUUAACAAGCUCGAAAAUCGGUUUUGCGGUUUAAUAAUUAUUUCGUUUUUUAAUAAAAAUUAUAAUUAUCCAUUUAAAGGUAUUUAAAAAUUUGGUUUGCUAUUUAAGAAAUAAUAAACUUUUAUUAGUUUAUAUUAAAACUGGGUUAUUAAACCCAUUUUGUUACAUUUAAUAAUUGGUAAUUAUAAAUAUUCGAAAUUGCUUGGUUUUUGUAAUAGUAAUUUUGCUGGAAUUGGGGAAAUUUGAAAUUUGUUUAGGGAUAUUUAUAUAUUUUAUUUGGGGGUUUUAUAACGUCGAGUUGCACGAAAAGUAAAUUAUAAUUUUAAGUAUUUCAAAUCCCAAAACCUAUAUUUUAAUGGAAUCCCUGCAUAAAAUAUAAUAAUUUAAAAAAUUAUUUAUAAAAUAAAAUCACUUAUAAAAAACCCCAGUAUAUAAUUUGGAAAUAAUAUAAAUUUCAAAAUUAAUAUAUAGAAACUUUAUAUAUUACCAAGGUACAAAACAUGCGUUAAUAAAAUUAUAUUUUAUACGGACACUAAUUAUAUAAAUAGUAAUAAAUCUUAUUUAUUAAAUUUUAAAACACCUAGUUAAUUGGUUAAUUAAUAACUAUUAUUUGCUUUGUUUAAAAUUAGUAGGCUUUUAUUUACCUAAUAUUAACCGGUUUAUUCAAAUCUACUAUAUAUAUAUUAGUUAAUAACCCGUUAUUACCAACCUAAUAUCCAAAUAUAAAUCCGGUUUAAUAUAAUACGCCUUUUAAGCAAUUUAUUAAUUUAAAGCAUUUAAUAUAUUAAAUUAAUUUGAAAUAACAAAUAACAACUAAAUAAAAUUAAUUUUUUGGUUUAAUUGUUAAUUUUAUAAAUUAUAAUUUGUAAAUUAUAAAUUUAAUUUUAGGGGUUAUUAUAAUUUUCGAGAGUAUUUCAAAUCGGGAUUUAGUUUAAUUUGGUGUUUUUUAAAUUAGAAGGUUAAAAUAUAAAAAGAAACUCUUUCUGGGGGAAUAAUUUAUUUUAUAUAUUUCUCUAAUUUUUCUGUAAAUUAAAUAACAAAAAUAAAUAUUAAUUAUAUAUAUUAUUUUGCAUAUAAUAAAU
rnacentral:sRNA from 1 species